UACGUAGGGUGCGAGCGUUUGUCCGGAAUUACUGGGCGUAAAGAGCUCGUAGGUGGUUUGUCGCGUUGUCCGUGAAAACUCACAACUCAAUUGUGGGCGUGCGGGCGAUACGGGCAGACUGGAGUACUGCAGGGGAGACUGGAAUUCCUGGUGUAGCGGUGGAAUGCGCAGAUAUCAGGAGGAACACCGGUGGCGAAGGCGGGUCUCUGGGCAGUAACUGACGCUGAGGCGCGAAAGCGUGGGGAGCGAACAGG
rnacentral:rRNA from 1 species